rnacentral:tRNA from 1 species
AGCUCAGCUGGAUAGAGUACUGCCCUCCGAAGGCAGGGGUCGUGGGUUCGAAUCCCGCC